rnacentral:rRNA from 1 species
GAGAGUCGCAGAUACCAGGUGGCUGCAACUGUUUAUUAAAAACACAGCACUGUGCAAAAUCGUAAGAUGACGUAUACGGUGUGACGCCUGCCCGGUGCCGGAAGGUUAAUUGAUGGGGUUAGCGUAAGCGAAGCUCUUGAUCGAAGCCCCGGUAAACGGCGGCCGUAACUAUAACGGUCCUAAGGUAGCGAAAUUCCUUGUCGGGUAAGUUCCGACCUGCACGAAUGGCGUAAUGAUGGCCACGCUGUCUCCACCCGAGACUCAGUGAAAUUGAAAUCGCUGUGAAGAUGCAGUGUACCCGCGGCUAGACGGAAAGACCCCGUGAACCUUUACUACAGCUUGGCACUGAACAUUGAACCUACAUGUGUAGGAUAGGUGGGAGGCUUUGAAGACGUGACGCCAGUUGCGUUGGAGCCGUCCUUGAAAUACCACCCUUGUAUGUUUGAUGUUCUAACGUUGGCCCCUAAUCGGGGUUGCGGACAGUGCCUGGUGGGUAGUUUGACUGGGGCGGUCUCCUCCCAAAGAGUAACGGAGGAGCACGAAGGUGGGCUAAUCACGGUUGGACAUCGUGAGGUUAGUGCAAUGGCAUAAGCCCGCUUAACUGCGAGAAUGACGGUUCGAGCAGGUGCGAAAGCAGGUCAUAGUGAUCCGGUGGUUCUGAAUGGAAGGGCCAUCGCUCAACGGAUAAAAGGUACUCCGGGGAUAACAGGCUGAUACCGCCCAAGAGUUCAUAUCGACGGCGGUGUUUGGCACCUCGAUGUCGGCUCAUCACAUCCUGGGGCUGAAGUCGGUCCCAAGGGUAUGGCUGUUCGCCAUUUAAAGUGGUACGCGAGCUGGGUUUAGAACGUCGUGAGACAGUUCGGUCCCUAUCUGCCGUGGGCGUUGGAAGAUUGAAGGGGGCUGCUCCUAGUACGAGAGGACCGGAGUGGACGAACCUCUGGUGUUCGGGUUGUGUCGCCAGACGCAUUGCCCGGUAGCUAAGUUCGGAAUCGAUAACCGCUGAAAGCAUCUAAGCGGGAAGCGAGCCCUGAGAUGAGUCUUCCCUGAUACUUUAAGUAUCCUAAAGGGUUGUUCGAGACUAGAACGUUGAUAGGCAGGGUGUGUAAGCGCUGUGAGGCGUUGAGCUAACCUGUACUAAUUGCCCGUGAGGCUUAACCAU